rfam:Ictidomys tridecemlineatus contig062678, whole genome shotgun sequence.
AGGGCUGUAGCUCAGUGGUAGAGCGCUUGCCUUGCAUGUGUGAGACCCUGGGUUCAAUCCCCAGCACCACAU